UCUGUCACCUCUGUUUUAGUUUGCUUAUACUUUAAAGAAUGGCCCAGAUAACUAUUGACAACACAAGCAAUGAUUGCUCUAGCUUGUUCCCUGCCAGGCCACUCAACUUACAUGAAUGUAUGACCCACAGUAGUACAGGACUUAUGGCUCCAAAUGCCAGGGGACAGUGUCAGGUGGGGAGUCACACUAGAGCAGUAUACUUGUCAAACCAAAAUGCAGUCUCUCAGGGUGAGUCCAGGGAAGAUGGAAAUCUCCAGUGGAGCAGAAGGGCAAAAGCUCACUUGAUCUUGAUUUUCAGAUUUUUUGUGAAAGAAGAGCCUUACAAUACUUCCAACUUCUUGUUUAGUAAGCAGGAUGUGUCACAAAAGUUACCACAGGGAUGACAGGAAGGCCAAAUGUUUAUAAUGACACAAAAUUCAAAAUUUUAAUUUUAAAAUUGUUUUUUUCAUCUUUGUGUCUGCUCUUUUUUUCAGUGUGAGGCAGAAUUCACCAAGCUCUGGAUUGUUCUCCCACUAACAAGGAAUGUGACCUGGAUUUUGGCUGUUGUAAGAAAGGUUA
rnacentral:ncRNA from 1 species